rnacentral:rRNA from 1 species
CUACGCACUCCUACGGGAGGCAGCAGUGGGGGAAUAUUGCACAAUGGGCGCAAGCCUGAUGCGGCCAUGCCGCGUGUAUGAAGAAGGCCUUCGGGUUGUAAAGUACUUUCAGCAGUGAGGAAGGUGGGUAUGUUAAUAGCAUACUCAUUUGACGUUAGCUGCAGAAGAAGCACCGGCUAACUCCGUGCCAGCAGCCGCGGUAAUACGGAGGGUGCGAGCGUUAAUCGGAAUUACUGGGCGUAAAGCGCAUGCAGGUGGUUUGUUAAGUCAGAUGUGAAAGGCCCGGGGCUCAACCUCGGAAUUGCAUUUGAAACUGGACAAACUAGAGUACUGUAGAGGGGGUAGAAUUUCAGGUGUAGCGGUGAAAUGCGUAGAGAUCUGAAGGAAUACCGGUGGCGAAGGCGGCCCCCUGGACAGAUACUGACACUCAGAUGCGAAAGCGUGGGGAGCAAACAGGAUUAGAUACCCUGGUAG